AGUCUGGUGCCAGCAGCUGCGGUAAUACCAGCUCCAAUAGCGUAUAUUAAAGUUGUUGCAGUUAAAAAGCUCGUAGUUGGACUUGUGUGCGCUGUCCGCGGGUGGCCUGCGCCCAAAAGGGCGUUUCGGUUCGGCCCCGGUGGCGCCUUGAAAUCUGCAGCUGGGGGGACGUUGGCCUUAACUGGUCGGCGACCGCACGCCGGCUGCUCGGUUACUGUGAGAAAAUUAGAGUGUUCAAGGCAGGCAUUGGGUGCAAUUGAAUACAUUAGCAUGGAAUAAUAAAAUAUGGCUCCUGCCGUAUUUUGUUGGUUUUGACUGGUGGGAGUAAUGAUUGAUAGGGACGGUUGGGGGUGCUAGUAUUGAGCGGCCAGAGGUGAAAUUCAUGGAUUCGCUCAAGACUAACUUAUGCGAAAGCAUUCACCAAGGACGUCCUCUUUAAUCAAGAACGAAAGUUGGGGGAUCGAAGACGAUCAGAUACCGUCGUAGUCUCAACCAUAAACUAUGUCGACUUGGGAUCGGCGGUAGUUUUUUCAUAAAGACACUGUCGGGACCACGGGAGAAAUCAAAGUGUCUGGACUCUGGGGGAAGUAUGGUCGCAAGGCUGAAACUUGAAGGAAUUGACGGAAGGGCACCACCAGGAGUGGAGCCUGCGGCUUAAUUUGACCCAACACGGGGAAACUUACCAGGUCCAGAGAUGUAGAGGAUUGACAGAUUGAAGCUCUUUCUUGAUCACUUCGGUGGUGGUGCAUGGCCGUUCUUAGUUGGUGGAGUGAUUUGUCUGGUUAAUUCCGUUAACGAACGAGACCUCAGCCUGCUAGUGUAGUCGGCUGGAUUGCCUUUGGCGAUCCGUGAUUUCGACUUCUUAGAGGGACAAUCGACGCGCAGUCGAUGGAAGUUUGAGGCAAUAACAGGUCUGUGAUGCCCUUAGAUGUUCUGGGCCGCACGCGCGCCACACUGCUGGGCUCAGCGAGUUUUACUUGGCCGAGAGGCCCGGUUAAUCUUGUGAAAUCCCAGCGUGCUUGGGCUCGCCUCCUGCAACUGGAGGCGCCAACGAGGAAUUCCUAGUAGACGCAGGUCAUCAACCUGCAUCGAUUACGUCCCUGCCCUUUGUACACACCGCCCGUCGUUCCAUAAGAGUGAGGCAUCCGGUGAAUUCUCGGGAGAGCCUGGGCGUGGCCAGCAAUGGUCUGCUCGGGUUUGAACUUGCAUAAACUUGGUGCCUAUGAUUAGGG
rnacentral:rRNA from 1 species